GACAGUUGCUAAGUAGGCUGGACAGUUCCUUCUCCAAUGGCCUUCGACGUUGCAAUGGAAAUACUUUUUUCUUAUUGUCGGCCUUCUUAGGAACCUGUUUCUUGAGCUUGGCCUCAUUCUUUUGCUUCUUUGUGGGCUUUUCUUCUUCUUAAAAAAAAUUUUUUUUUGGAGGAAACCCAUUCUACGGUCAAAACUGUACCCCUUGAACUCUUUAAGAUGCCCUCUGCUGUUACCAGCAUAUUC
rnacentral:lncRNA from 1 species